GAUGAACGCUGGCGGCGUGCCUAAUACAUGCAAGUAGAACGCUGAAGGAGGGAGCUUGCUCUUUCCGGAUGAGUUGCGAACGGGUGAGUAACGCGUAGGUAACCUGCCUGGUAGCGGGGGAUAACUAUUGGAAACGAUAGCUAAUACCGCAUAACAGUAGAUGUUGCAUGAUAUCUACUUAAAAGGUGCAAUUGCACCACUACCAGAUGGACCUGCGUUGUAUUAGCUAGUUGGUGAGGUAACGGCUCACCAAGGCGACGAUACAUAGCCGACCUGAGAGGGUGAUCGGCCACACUGGGACUGAGACACGGCCCAGACUCCUACGGGAGGCAGCAGUAGGGAAUCUUCGGCAAUGGACGGAAGUCUGACCGAGCAACGCCGCGUGAGUGAAGAAGGGUUUCGGAUCGUAAAGCUCUGUUGUAAGAGAAGAACGAGUGUGAGAGUGGAAAGUUCACACUGUGACGGUAUCUUACCAGAAAGGGACGGCUAACUACGUG
rnacentral:rRNA from 1 species